UGGGAUGAUAAAGUAAAAUACUGAAGCACUGAUCACUGAAGCACUACACUGUAUUUUCCUUUCAGAUAUCUGCCUAAAUUUUAUACUUCAUCAUCAGUCUCCACAUAGCAACUUUGAUCUCCUUGUUCCUUAGUGUGUAGAUUGUGGGGUUCAUCAAAGGGAAGACCACAGUGUGGAAAAAAGCCACUAUCUUGUCAAAGGGGAAAUCUUGGAAGGGACGGCAGUAGAUGUAGAUAGCCGGACCAAACAUGAUGAAGACAAUGAUGAUGUGGGUGAUGCACGUAGAGGAGGCUUUGCUCUUCCCUUGACCAGAGCCUGUCCUCACCUUGACCAGCAAAGCCCCAUAUGAAAUGAGGAGGAGGAUGAAACAUCCAGUAGUGACCAGACCACUGUUAACAAACAUGACAAAUUCUAAUGCAUAAGUGUUGGUGCAAGCCAGCUUGAUGAUCUGGGUGAUGUCACAAAAGAAAUUGUCCAGUUCAUUGGGGCCACAGAAAGGAAGUGGUAUGAUGAGAAUCACCUGGAUUAUAGAAUGUAUGAAUCCUCCUGCCCAUGAACCUGCAACUAACAUCCAGCAAACCACUCUGGUCAUCACAGUGGCAUAGUGCAGUGGGUGGCAGAUGGCUACAUACCGAUCCACAGCCAUGGCAAUAAGGAGGUUGAUCUCGGCCCCACCCAAAAAAUGAAUGAAGAAAAGCUGUGCAAUGCAGCCCCUGUAGGAGAUGGUUCUGCAGCCAGCCAAGACGUUGGCUAUCAUCUUUGGAGGGGUGACACAGCUGUAGCAGAUGUCCAUUAAAGCCAAAUUGGCCAAGAAGAAAAACAUGGGGGAUCCCAGAUGGGAAUAAUUCAAAAUGGUCACAAUGAUAAGGAUGUUCCCAGGUAGGAUGAUGACAUAGAAGAGCAGGAGGAGACAACAGAGGAACAGCUGCAGCUCCCAGAUCUGUGAUAAUCCCUGGAGAACAAACUCUGUCACUACUGUAUAGUUCAGUUCCAUCUCCACUACUGUAUGGUUCCAUUGUUCCAUUUUUAGAGUGCAUAGCUCUGCAGUCAAAUAAUGAUGAAGAUAUUAAACAGGAAAAAUCUACAAGGUGGGUUUCCCCUCUCCCCCUUUCACCUCAAGGUUAUAUAAACAGUGCAUACAGGCCAUUGACUGGCUGGUUUGUAAGAAACCAGUGGUCCAGUUAUCAUUUGGGUAUCUUGUCGAGCUGCUGCUUUUUCAAAAGGCAAAUGAAAAUUCAAUUUCAAUUGAAAAGAAGUUUAUCAUACUGGUAUAGUUUUCAAAGUGCCAGGAAUAGGUCACUUUCUUGACUAAAGCUUGGUAAUCUCUUUUGUACCAAACAUGCAUUUCCUCUAAUAAACACUGGCUUCCUUGUUUUCCUAAAAGCAGAGUUUCAGUGUGAUUAUAUCUGGGGGAAAGCAUGCUUCUCCAAGAGGGGUUCAGGAUUCAGUUCAGCUUCUGCUGAGAAUUCACCUCCAAAUGCCAACAACAUAGUCUCUGGCCAUUGUCCAUACUGUCUGGGCCUUGAUGAAGACCAGCAACACCAAAAGGACCACAGGUUUUCCCUCCCUGUUCUAGUGAAAGAAUUGCAAGGAGGGUUAUUCUCUACUGGCUAUUGACUGAAAUAAAAAAAUGAGAAAAAUAGAGUGGUGAAAUUUCUAUUUAAUAAGCAUCAGUUUGAGGCUCAUCUGUGCAUUUCAUAUUUUAGUGCUCUUUCACUUGCUGCCCAACUUAAUGCAGUAGAAAUAAUGUUAUGAUUGGCUACUAAUGUCCUCCUUGUUAGGUUACUGGUGUGCUAAUAGUUUAGGCUGAGUGCUCAGUGUGUAACGAACUCUCUCUCUCCUCUGGGCAAUAUAUAUGAGUUAUAUACAUCUUUUGAAUUAGAUACCCAUCAGAUCAGGAAGAGAUAAGAAAUAUCCAGCUGUGGGCAGAAGUGGGUAGAGAGAACGAGCAAAAAUAUUUGAUUAGAGAGAUCUUGUGCUCAUAGUGCCUAAAUGGAGUUAAGAGAGUACAGAAGUUGUUCUCUGAAGAUUUAUUGCCUGCUUUAGGAGCGCCUGCUUGCUUCCAUCAUUCUUUGCUUGGAUAUUUGUAAAUAAAGCAAAUAUGCUGAACCUUACAUUCCGUUCCAUGUAUAAAUAAUGGGGCUGAAUAAUCAUAGGAAAUAGAUACACAUACAUAAAGGUUCUCUCUCAGAUACCCACAUUAUGGACCUGUGAAGUAGAAAAUAUGCAGACACAUGAGUUUUCCAGAAGAGGGACCUCAAAAUAUUGCCUUUCUUUUUCUGAACCCCAGUCCCUCCAAGAGAAAAGGCAUGAUUGUUCUUCUCUCAUUAAAAUGGGUUCAAGUUUUAGACUAUCUUUUGCAAUAUAGAAAACAAUGAAUGUAUGUUUCCCUUUAAACUACUAAUGAGAGAAAAACAGUUUAGAUAAAGAAUAUAAGAACAUAGGAACAUAUUGAACAUAGGAAGCUGUCUUAUACCGAGUGAGACCAUUCGUCUAUCUAGCUUGGUAUUAUCUGCACUGACUGGCAGUUGCUCUCCAGGAUUUUAGACAGGAGUCUUCCCUACCUGGAGAACCCAGGGAUUGACUCUGUGGCCUCUGUACCACUUCACUAUUGGUAGCAGAGAGAAUUCAGAACCUUGCCCAUCCCAUCAAAGACCUUGUGGCUAAAGGAGUGAAUACAGCCACUUCAGCUCCCUCACCCUAUUCCUUUGUCGCUCCUCUUGCUUUCUUGCAGAAGGAAGGAAGGAAGGAAGGAAGGAAGGAAGGGGUAUGAUGGGAGACAGAGAAGGCUGAAGUGUGAAGAUGUAGCUGUCACUUACCCCCUGCUGCCACCAAGUGUAUCACAGCCCUUGAGGCAGCGGCAGGUCUGCUCAUCCUCCCUAGCUAUAUUACUUCUGGCCCUGGGAGAGCUGAAGGUGAGGAGGUGUGUAUCAAAGGAUAAGCUGGGCUCUUGGGUACAACCCUUCCACAGGCUCCCAAGGGCCUUAUUAUAAACCAAACUUCUUUUUCAUUUAUUUCCAAUGCUUCAAGGCUACUUCAAGGAUGUUGAUUGGAAGCUUGUGGCUGACAACCCCAUUUUGCAAUCCUAACUACACUUAUUGGGAAGUAAAUAUAUUUGCAUAAACAUGCUUAGGAAAGUAUGA